rnacentral:rRNA from 1 species
AGUCACUGACAUUAGAUACCCGGUAGUCCUAGCCGUAAACGAUACUCGCUAGGUGUCGGCCACGGUGCGACCGUUGUCGGUGCCGUAGGGAAGCCGUGAAGCGAGCCACCUGGGAAGUACGGCCGCAAGGCUGAAACUUAAAGGAAUUGGCGGGGGAGCACAACAACGGGUGGAGCUUGCGGUUUAAUUGGAUUCAACGCCGGAAAUCUUACCGGGACCGACAGCAACAUGAAGGCCAAGCUGAAGACUUUGCCGGAUUAGCUG